rnacentral:rRNA from 1 species
CCUACGGGACGCACCAGUGGGGAAUAUUGGACAAUGGGCGAAAGCCUGAUCCAGCAAUGCCGCGUGUGUGAAGAAGGUCUUCGGAUUGUAAAGCACUUUCGACGGGGAGGAAGAUGACGGUACCCGUAGAAGAAGCCCCGGCUAACUUCGUGCCAGCAGCCGCGGUAAUACGAAGGGGGCUAGCGUUGCUCGGAAUGACUGGGCGUAAAGGGCGCGUAGGCGGUUUAUGCAGUCAGAUGUGAAAUCCCCGGGCUUAACCUGGGAACUGCAUUUGAGACGCAUAGACUAGAGGUCGAGAGAGGGUUGUGGAAUUCCCAGUGUAGAGGUGAAAUUCGUAGAUAUUGGGAAGAACACCGGUGGCGAAGGCGGCAACCUGGCUCGAUACUGACGCUGAGGCGCGAAAGCGUGGGGAGCAAACAGGAUUAGAUACCCGAGUAGUC